AUUGAACGCUGGCGGCAGGCCUAACACAUGCAAGUCGAGCGAGCGGCGGACGGGGGAGUAAUGUAUGGGGACUGCCCGCUAGAGGGGGAUAACACCUGGAAAAGAUAGCUAAUACCGCAUAAUAUCGGAUAACCCAGAUGGGAUUACCUCGUAGGUGGGGUAAUGGCUCACCUAGCAGACGAUCCCUAGCUGGUCUGAGAGGAUGAUCAGCCGCACUGGGACUGAGACACGGCCCAGACUCCUACGGAGGCAGCAGUGGGGAAUAUUGCACAAUGGGCGCAAGCCUGAUGCAGCCAUGCCGCGUGGAUGAAGAAGGCCCUAGGGUUGUAAAGCACUUUCAGUCGGGAGGCGUUACCGACAGAAGAAGCACCGGCUAACUCCGUGCCAGCAGCCGCGGUAAUAC
rnacentral:rRNA from 1 species